rnacentral:pre_miRNA from 1 species
AUAAUAUAAGAACCAUCUCUUAACUUUUAACUAAAAAAAAUAAGAACCAACUCUUAAAUAAAAGUUUUAAGAGACGAUUCUUAGUUUUUCAGUUAAAGUUAAGAGACGGUUCUUAUAUUAC